rnacentral:rRNA from 1 species
AGAGUUUGAUCAUGGCUCAGGACGAACGCUGGCGGCGCGCUUAACACAUGCAAGUCGAGCGAGAACCGGGACUUCGGUCCCGGGGACAGCGGCGAACGGGUGAGUAACACGUGGGUAAUCUGCCCUCGAUUCUGGGAUAGCCCGGGGAAACUCGGAUUAAUACCGGAUAGCCUUUCAAGCCCUCGGGCGUGAAAGAAAAGGUAGCUUCGGCCUCCGAUCGAGGAUGAGCCCGCGGUGGAUUAGCUUGUUGGCGGGGUAAUGGCCCACCAAGGCGACGAUCCAUAGCUGGUCUGAGAGGACGAUCAGCCACACUGGGACUGAGACACGGCCCAGACUCCUACGGGAGGCAGCAGUGGGGAAUCUUGCGCAAUGGGCGAAAGCCUGACGCAGCGACGCCGCGUGGGGGAAGAAGGCCUUAGGGUUGUAAACCUCUUUCAGGUGGGACGAAGCCACUCGGGUUAAUAGCCCAGAGGGUGACGGUACCGCCAGAAGAAGCCCCGGCUAACUACGUGCCAGCAGCCGCGGUAAUACGUAGGGGGCAAGCGUUGUCCGGAUUUAUUGGGCGUAAAGAGCGUGUAGGCGGCCAGGUAGGUGGGUUGUGAAAACUGGAGGCUCAACCUUCAGACGUCGACCCAAACCCCCUGGCUAGAGUCCGGAAGAGGAGAGUGGAAUUCCUGGUGUAGCGGUGAAAUGCGCAGAUAUCAGGAAGAACACCCGUGGCGAAGGCGGCUCUCUGGGACGGUACUGACGCUGAGANNCGAAAGCGUGGNNAGCGAACAGGAUUAGAUACCCUAGUAGUCC